AGCAGCCGCGGUAAUUCCAGCUCCAAUAGCGUAUAUUAAAGUUGUUGCAGUUAAAAAGCUCGUAGUUGAACUUCGGGGUUUACCCAUUGGUCAGGCUUAAUUGUCUGCACUGGUGAGAUGAAUCUCUACCUUCUGAGGAACUUUCAUGCCAUUUAUUUGGUGUGAUGGGAAAUCAGGACUGUUACUUUGAAAAAUUAGAGUGUUUAAAGCAGGCUAACGUCUGAAUACAUUAGCAUGGAAUAAUGAAAUAGGACGGACUGAUUCUAUUUCGUUGGUUUCUAGGAUCACCGUAAUGAUUAAUAGGGAUAGUUGGGGGCAUUAGUAUUCAAUUGUCAGAGGUGAAAUUCUGGAUUUAUUGAAGACUAAACUACUGCGAAAGCAUUUGCCAAGGAUGUUUUCAUUAAUCAAGAACGAAAGUUAGGGGAUCGAAGACGAUCAGAUACCGUCGUA
rnacentral:rRNA from 1 species